ACAGCAAAGACCGCGAGGUGGAGCGAAUCUCCAAAAAUUAGUCCCAGUUCAGAUUGCAGGCUGCAACUCGCCUGCAUGAAGUCGGAAUUGCUAGUAAUCGCGGAUCAGAAUGCCGCGGUGAAUACGUUCCCGGGUCUUGUACACACCGCCCGUCACACCAUGGGAGUUGGGAAUGCCCGAAGUCAGUGGCCCAACCGGAAGGGGGGAGCUGCCGAAGGCAGGUUCGAUGACUGGGGUGAAGUCGUAACAAGGUACC
rnacentral:rRNA from 1 species